rnacentral:lncRNA from 1 species
UCACUCUGCGUGGCAACCGAAAGAAAAACGAAAAAGACAAAAGAAAAUGAAAAGAAAUAAAUACCCUCACUGUUCACUCAUCCCACGCCUCUCCUCACAAUCCUCACGUUCCUCUCUCCAUCUACCUCACUCACGUCUCUCUUCACCCUUCACUCCCUCUCAUUGUCUUCACCACUCACUCCAGCUACUAUCAACAAAAACCCUUUAUCUUCCACCUUCACGGCCGCGAUA